rnacentral:rRNA from 1 species
GAUUUCUGGCUAAGCGCCCUAGCCCGCUGGCUUCGGUCAGUGUGUGCUGGUGUGUAUUAGCCAUCCUUUCUAGAAAGCCAUGCGUACCGUUUACUCGGCCGCGCGUGUGCGAUCUAGAUCUUUUACUUUGAAAAAAUUAGAGUGUUUCAAGCAGGCUUUAUGCUAUGAAUACAUUAGCAUGGAAUAAUAAUUUAGGACUUCGGUUCUAUUUUGUUGGUUUCUAGGACUGAAGUAAUGAUUGAUAGGGAUAGUUGGGGGUGCUAGUAUUCAGCGGCCAGAGGUGAAAUUCUCGGAUUCGCUGAAGACUAACUUAUGCGAAAGCAUU